UGCGGGAACGAAAUGAACGCUGGCGGCGUGCUUAACACAUGCAAGUCGUACGAGAAAGGGAUUGCUUGCAAUCCUGAGUAGAGUGGCGCACGGGUGAGUAACACGUAGAUAAUCUACCUUCAAGCCCGGAAUAACUGUUCGAAAGGGCAGCUAAUACCGGAUAAAGUUAAUUAACAUAAGUUAAUUAAUGAAAGAUUGCCUCUGCUUGCAAGCUAUUGUUUGGAGAUGAGUCUGCGCACCAUUAGUUAGUUGGUAGGGUAAUAGCCUGCCAAGACUUCGAUGGUUAGCUGGUCUGAGAGGAUGAUCAGUCACACUGGAACUGGAACACGGUCCAGACUCCUACGGGAGGCAGCAGUGAGGAAUAUUGCGCAAUGGGGGAAACCCUGACGCAGCGACGCCGCGUGAGUGAGGAAGGCCUUCGGGUCGUAAAGCUCUGUCAGCAGGGAAGAAGUGUAUAGUGGUUAAUACCCAUUAUAUUUGACGGUACCUGCAAAGGAAGCACCGGCUAACUCCGUGCCAGCAGCCGCGGUAAUACGGAGGGUGCAAGCGUUGUUCGGAAUCACUGGGCGUAAAGGGCGCGCAGGCGGUUUUAUUAGUCAGAUGUGAAAGCCCACGGCUCAACCGUGGAAGUGCAUUUGAAACUGUAAGACUUGAGUACCAGAGGGGAAGGUGGAAUUCCCGGUGUAGAGGUGAAAUUCGUAGAUAUCGGGAGGAAUACCGGUGGCGAAGG
rnacentral:rRNA from 1 species